GCCAAGUGCGGGGGACCUUGGCCAGCAUCCUAGAGAGCUGGCGCACCUCCUGGGCCUGACGCGGGCUUCCUGGAUUGCAUAAAGGCUCCUUCUCCUUACAUAGCCAGGGCAAAGGUGCAUGACAACUCUGAGCAAGUCAAAACAACCGUCAGCAGCGGGAAACCUCGAUGAACAAACACCGGGAGAGUGUUUCUGCAGAUCCUGCUUUGUGACUUCGAGUGAAGUGUGGAAGCGCUGGAAGCACUUAGACCCUGCCUGUGCCGCAGACCCCUGGGAGGCACCAACACCCCGGAUCGAGAAGCCCGAUGGGAAAGAAUGUCUGGGAAGGACGUCAUGCCCGAGGCUUGCGUGACAGUUUCCACUCACAGUGCGCUCACUCUGAACCUCUGUGCACACGAUGGGCCUGCAUCUCUUCCCACUAUCUGCUAGGAAACACGAGGGGAAGGAAAUGACCGCAGAAGGGAGUGCACCGUGGGGGCAGGAGGUGCUGCGGCCAAUGGGCAGUGCUGGGAGAUGAAACCAACAGCGGCGAUUGCCCCAGAAAGAACUUGGCGCUGCUAAGGCAAUGGCGGCCCGAAAGAGGCCCCUGACGCAUGAGGAGCGGCCGCCGUCUCCAGCCCCAGGCCUCCCUCCCCUGUGUUUCCCGCAGCCCCCUCUGGAGUCUCUCCCCCGCCCCGCACGUGUAGGGAGACCCCGGGAAAGUGGGCCGGUUAUAAUUGCAAAAAAUAAACCGUCAGUAGCCACAAUAUCUUAUAAACGUAAAAGUAAUCUGAAAACCUACUUCAGUUAGAGAAAGGGCGUUUGAAUAUUUCCUGUUUAAGACACAGACCCCCUGAGAAGAUGUAUAAAGGACUUGGGCUGGGUGUGGUGGCUCACACUGCCCACACCAUGACCUUGGACCCCCGGCCUCCGGAACUGAGAGGCGCCGAACGCCUGCUGUUCAAGCUGCACCGUGAUGGGCACUUGGUUCUGUCUGCCCCAGGAAAAUGAGCCCAGCGCUCUCCCCAAACUCCUUUGUCCUGAACUUCUUUCCAGAGCCCUCAGCCCUAAUGGGUGGUCCCCUAGGGUCCUCAGCCUUCAGACUCUAAAUUCCCGUUGGAAACCCACAGGCAGUAGGGCCACGCCCAGGCACUCAGCCGCUGUGCUGCUCCCACGGGGGGCCCAGCAAACAGCCAGAGGCAGGCCCGGGGAGAGUUCCAGGGGGCUGGGAGACAGGUGGGAAACCUGCCACUGGCGGAGCGGUUGGUGGAGGGGUUGGAGGAGGGGCCGACAGGGAAACACGGUCCACGCCUCUGUCUGGGGGCUGUCACCUCCAGGGCUUUGAGCCUCACCAGCGUUCCGCCGCAUGGCUUGGAAGGUGUUGCUUUUCCUCCAGGGAGCUCAGGCCUCCGCAACAUGAGGACACUGCGACCCGGAAGCACUCUGUGCCGUCUGAGCUGCCCGCGAUCCAGUCCCUAAGAGGGACCAUCGGCAGGCGGCUUCCUGGCUCUUGGGGUCCGCACAGGCCUGUGGUAGCCCUGUGAGUGUCGGCUCCUGCAUAGAACCCUGCCUGACUUCCCAGGAAGAGGGUGCUGCCUCCUGGGGACUCUCAGCCAGGAGGAGGCCAUGAGAACCGUCAAGAAGUUCAUGGACUCAGGAGGACGUCGUGAGCAGUGCUGAGGUCAUGGAAUGUGGGCUGGGACCUUGUGUUUGGUGACAUCCUAUGCAGCCAGGCAGUGAGCAGCCGACGGGUGCCUCAGUGUCCCAUGCAGCACAGCCACGCAGAGCAGGCGAGGGCCAGCCCCCAGGAAGCCGCUUGUGCCUGCCCGCAGUGGGACAAACCUCGGCACUGAGUGUGUCCACAGAUGCCAACGCCCCUCAGACGGAGUGAGUUGAUGACUGUUAAAUGCAACAAUAUAAAUGGCCUUGUAUUUUGUAUAUCUUUCCUUUUUUGUUUUAUUUUUCUAGCUGAUCUUUUUUACUCUAUUUUGCAAAAGUUAGCA
rnacentral:lncRNA from 10 species